UUCUCCUAGCUCAGGUUGUUUCUACGAUUUCUCGGGCGCAGACUCGUGGGGCUGGCCAGAUUCCUCUCAUCAACCAUUACAAGCCUGGGACCGAGCCUUCCCCUUGACUCAUGGCUCUCAAUUGUGGCUGGGGUCCUCUUCCACGGGUCUUCUUCCACAAUUCAUGGUAACAGACUCCAAUAGAAGAUGCCAAUCACGCGCAUGCCUGCGAUCUGGUGGAUUGGGUUGUGAGAUUCCUGAUCCCGCCUCUGCCCAUAUAACGUAGACGCAAAACCCCCCAACCCUCAUCUUAGGCGCCGCCAAACCACCGUCAAUUGAGCAAGCAUCGACGAGAAUAGGGAAGAAGUACAUGAAUCACCGCGGGUCCAUGCGGUGGCAUGGUUGGGAGCUCUGCGCUGGGUGGAUUGCGGUGAGUACCUUCUCGGGUGAUUGGUCGUUGUCUCUGCUUCGCAUUGUGCCACUCGGACCUGGGAUUGGGGCACUGGCGCUUAAGAUCACCGUCGCUGGCCAUGGUGACCGCCGAGGGAGUGGGCGGCGCGGCCGUCCGUUCGGCCGAGGAUUGGGGUCCGGCCCGUUCGGCCGAUCGAUUUCCGGGGAACGAUCCCAAUUGGGGAUUGGAUCCUGGACGUUGGUUUGAUCAGCGACAAUCGUGAUUGGAUGAGGCAUAUCCCUUCCGGAAACAUGAUCAGAGCCGUUAGAUCAGAAUCGCAUGGAUGAGAUUAGAUCGCGAGUAUUUAAAUCUUGAUCAUCGAUCACUGAUCGAAUGACUCUAGUCGCGUACCGGUUUAUAAUGUUGGGGUUCUAAUAUGAUCCGUCAGUAUUGGAUCAGACGGCCGUGAUCCUUGCUUACCUCUUCGCGUGGACUUUUGUGUUAUUAACCUUGGACUUUUUAGUAAUUGUUGCGCUCUCUAGAGCUCGGGAAAUCAAAUAAAUAAAUUCAAAAAUUGUUUUUUGGGUAUAAAAAAAUUGCAGAAACCCAUUUAAUUCAUAUAAAUUUCAUAUUAAAUCCUUUUUGACCCAUUCCAAUUUCUAUAGUUUGGUAUUAAUAUUGUUUAUCACUCAGUGUCUCUGUUUGGACAUGAAAGUCACAUUAAAAUGUAUAUCCUAUUUAAUCUUGUAUAAAACACAUAGAAUCUUCAGAAAUUCAUAACUUAUAAUCUAUAACUCUGAAUUGAUCUGUUCCAGUUGUGUUAGCUUCGUAUAAAUAUCUACUACACAAUAGCAACAUUUAUUAUAUUAUAUCCCACACUUUUAUAAUUAAGUAACUAAUUGGGUUAAUCUAUGUCUAUUGGAUUAACUUCUUUAAUUUAAUAUAGUAUUCUAAUUUUAUGGUUAUAAUUUAACUAGAUAAUCUUUAAUCAAAUAAUGACUUAGAUUAAAGUUGAGAUAAAUAUUUAUAGAAUAACCUCUCAUAUUAUAGUUUAAUAUUUUAAUCACAUAGAUCUUCUAUAAGAUCAAAACUCAUUAACCAUGACUCCGAUCUUAGUAGUUCCUGAUCCCACGAUCUCAUAGCGACACAUAGAUCAAUAUUAUGUAGUUUGUUCUUAUGUAUGGUGUGAUGUUAAUUUUUUCUAUACCAUGUUUGUUUGUAUUGCUACGACUAGCAGUGCGGACACGAGGAUCUGAGGAAUCAUCCUGGUACCUGGAAUCUCAAGUCCCAGGCAAGUUGUGCCCUUGAUCACUUUCAUUUACCCAAUAAUGUUCUUUAUUAUCACUAUUCAAUGCAUAAGUGUAAUUUUGAUGGGACCCAAUAGGUCAUCCUAGUAUGAUUAUCUUUUACCUUGUUUACCCCUAAAUCAUUUGGGUAGUUAUUGUAUUGCUUUAUAUGGUUUUGGGUUAAUAUUUCAUUAUAUCCAUGUUCCAGUUAUUCUGUUAUGUUAUGUUCAUGUCAAGAUCAUUAUCUUUAAUUGGAACAUGGAGCUUAACUUGAGAAACACGUGCCACCACAAGGGUGGAAUGGGACGCCCUUGGCUGACUAAUUAGGAAAGCUAGUGGAAGACUACCUUACCCGAAAGGGGCAAGGGCAGUAGGGGAGUUGCAUGCAGGGAGGUUCUCGUGUUGAUUUUGCUGCGAUGGCGGUCAGACGAGGGAUUCUUGCAAGUGCUCUUCCCAUAAACUGUAGCAGGUUUUUGAAGCUAGUGGAACUUUGUAAAGGCCUCGUAGUGUUACCCUGCCUCACUUCCUUGGUAGAGGUGAAUGGGAUUCAUGACCCCUUGGCAGAUGGGUAACAUGACUUGUGGGUACAGGGUAUAACCUCUGCAGAGUGUAAAACUGGUAUACUAGCCAAGCUCACGGUCAAGAGCAGCUCAGGACUCUCGCAUGAUUAAAUUAUGGAACUAAAUUCAAUUCGUCAUUUGCAUUGCAUGGUAUUUUGUUAUUAAUUUUGUUCUAUUCUUAUUAUGGUUUGGUAUUUACUUACAUCUAGUAAUUGCUAAUAAAUUUUUACCAACUUUAAAAGCAAUGCUCAGCUUUAACCAUUCUCUUUGGUAAGCCUUACACUUCAUGAGCUCCCACCUUUGGCGAGUUCAUGCAUUAUUCCCCACAACUUGUUGAGCGAUGAACAUGUGUGAGCUCACCCUUGAUGUCUCACACCCCCACAGGAGAAGAACAGGUGGUUCAAGAGGAUCCACACAGUGAGGAGUUCGAUUUGAUCUAGGUGGCGUCUCCCAGUUGACUUUAUGACGCCAAGGAUGGACUUUAGUUUGAUCUAUAUUUAUAUUUUAUUUUGUAAGACUACCACUAUGUAAUAAGUACUCUGAUGAUAUUGUGACAUUUAUCUCUAUACACUCUGUUACUAUAUGUGUUGUCUUCUUUGGCGCAUAUAUGAGAUGCACCCGACUUUAUCCUUUAAAUCUGGGUGUGACAGAAGUGGUAUCAGAGGAAAUAUUGACUGUAGGACGAAACCUAGAUAGAAAUGGACAAAACCAUUACCUACUUACCUUACUCCGAUUCUUUUCUAAACUUAUCUUAAUCUUUUCUCAUUUAUUUCCGCUUUACUCUAAUUAUUCUUACCUUUUCUUUCUAAAGACAAAUGUCGAUUUCACACUUUGAAAUCAUGUGCCUAAAGUGACCUUUAGGAAUAGAAGACCUACUCUUAGGAACAAAAAAAACUAAUUUUAUAGGUAUCUAUGUGCGUGAGUGCUUGUCCUUAUGAUACUUGUUUUAUUUGGAUCAUUGAUUGAGUAUGAUGAAUUGUGGAGUAACGUCCACAAUUACAUCUACAUAUACGCAUAGGCAUAAAUAUAAAUAAAUAAAAUUCAUGAGAUAACUAUACAACUUAAAUUAUCUUCCAUUAAAGUGUAUCUAUUUUAUAUAGAACCCUCUUAUCUUAAAAGACUCUCUCUUAUCUUAAUAGAUCCAUCUUAUCUUAAAAGAUUCUUUCUUAUCUUGAUAGAUUCAUCUUACCUUGAAAAUAUUUUACCUUGUCCUAAUAGAUCUAACUAAUCUCAAAAGAUUCUACCACAAUCUUAGAUACUCAUCUUGUCCUAAUAAGCAUACUUAUCCCAACCACCUUGCUUAUCUCAUAAUAGUGUAACAAACAUGAUCUAUCCCAAAAUAAAUUAACUAGAUCUUAUCUAGUCUAAUCUGGUUAUACCAAUUUAAAUCCUGAUCCCAUCUAACCUGAUCAGAUCUAAUCUAAUGGACAAACAUGAUGUACCCUUGUUUUCUAUGCCACGCCUAUUAAUGGCAUGAAAAUUUUAGGUGUAUAAAAAUAUAUACUAAUUGGAAGUUCCACUUAAAAAUAUAUACUAGAACUUCGUAAAGAUAAAGUCAGCUUGAUAUGCUCAACUAAAUGGUAUUCUUAAAUAGGAUUAUGGAAUCUAGUGUGAUCUAAUCCAAUGUGGUCUGCUUAAACAAAUUAGUGGUACUUUGACCCUUCUAGCCAGGUGUUAACUUAACUUAGCACAUUACACCAACACAACCAGGAGCAUAAGAGCUAACCCAACCCAUAGAGUCAUGAUGAAUGGUAUAACCUAUCCAUCCCCACCUAACAUCAAACAAACUUUUGACCUACAUCAUGUGUAAUCUAUCUCAUCAUGACAGAUUUUAUCCUACCUUUGGAUAUUCACCUUAUACGACUAGUUACCCCAAUGUGGACAUAAAACAAAGAUUAAGCCCCGCUAAAGAAUCUUCAGAUCAUAACCAGUUACUGACCUAUUCAUUCUGCUAACCAAAUAAUUUCCCUUGCAAAACUAUCAUACCUUAUGCUUCUAACUCUCAUGGUCCCUACCAUGAAGGGAAGAUUAUCAGGCAACAGCAAACAGAAAUGAAUCCUCUAAAUCCUCCACCGGUUGGAAUGGAUGAAGUGGUUGCCGCCCAAAUGAUGGUAAUACAACAAAUGGCAGACAUGGUUACCGAAAUGCAAAAUCAGAUAAGAAAAGAAUGCCAGGAAAUACGUCAGGACCGGCUGGAGAUACGUCAAGAAAUAAGGCAAGCACGGUUGGAAAGACAACAACAACGCCCACUACCUCCACCACCACCACCAGCUCCACCAAGCUACAUAUAUAUAUAUAUAUUACUAUUUUAGUUAAAUGUUACUUUAGUUAGUGGUUGGUAUGAUACUAUUUUAGGAGGAAUAAUAAGGUCUAAUUGACCCCAUGUGUUGCUAAUAAAUUAUGCAUCAUGCUGAGAUUUUUGUUUAUGCAUAUGUUCGGAGACAAUAUGGUUAUACACCCUUUUCUUACAAAUCUCGAGGACGAGAUUUCUGUUAAGGGGGUAUGAUUUGUAAGACCCAAAAUUUGUAGAAGAAAAAAUAAUAAAGACAUAAGUAUAUUGGUGAUGGUGUUUCUAGAAUUUUUUUGAAACCUUGAGAAUUUGUCAGGACCCUUCUUCAUAAUCAAUUGAGGGUACUAAAUUAAUUAAAUGACUAAUAAUAGAUGAAGAGAGGUCAAUCUCGGGAUGACAAUUUUUAGUGAUGCAUUCUAUGGAAAUCAUAAAUUUGGUCUCUAAUUUUAAAUAAUAAAAACAUAAAAUAGAAAAUGAGAAAGGAAUUUUUAAUGAAACCAUUUAUUCCUUCCAUAAAUAAAUGACAAGGAAAAUAAAUAAUAACAUAGUAAAGCAAUAGUGUUUAUACCCACUUUAGAAUAAAUUUUGACAUUUGGGAAGUUGAGGUGCAAAACAUGAAUUUGAAUUUGGUUUGAACAUUUUGAAUUUGAAAUAGGAAUCUGAAAAUAUGAAAGAAACCAAAAUAGAAAAUAAAUUGGAGGAUUUUCUCAUAAAAGUGAAUAUAUGUUAGAAAGUAUGUCUUCAUAAAAUAAAAUAAGUAAUAAAUAUCGAAGCUUUGUAAAUGAAUUUCUAAUGGACUACACAUUCAAUAUACUUUCGUAGAAUGAAUAUUAUGUUGCAUGUUGAAAACAUAGGCUAAAUAAAUAAGUAAGGAAGUAAGUAAAUAAAUAAACUUAAUUCAUGUACCUUGCAUUCAUGUUGGGAUAUUUUUGAGUGAAAAUUAGAACUUCGUUUGAAUUUAAAUCUAAUUAGAAUUUGGAAAUAAGAAACAGGAAAUUAUAAAAGAAAGGAAAAAAGGACAAAACUCGUAUUGGGCCACAUCUGCUCUUCACUCGGCCCAGUUUGACGAAAGCCUGCGCAGCCCAGCCCAAAACCGUCGCGCCCACCGACACGCGGGGCCUGCCCUAUCAGUCACUCAUACCCUCUCUGUGCCAUAUGACCGGUGGGACCCACACCUGGGCGUUCUCCUAACUCAGGUUGUUUCUCCGAUUUCUCGGGCGCGGACUCGUGGGGCUGGCCGGAUUCCUCUCAUCAGCCAUUACAAGCCUGGGACUGAGCCUUCCCCUUCACUCGUGGCUCUCACUGGUGGCUGGGGUCCUCUUCCACGGGUCUUCUUCCACCAUUCAUAGUAACAGACUCCAACAGAAGAAGCCACUCACGCGUGUGCCUGCGAUCUGGUGGAUAGGGUUGUGAGAUUCCUGAUCCCGCCUUUGCCCGUAUAACGUAGCCGCAAAACCCCCCAACCCUCAUCUCAGGCGCUGCCAAACCACCAUCAAUUGAGAAAGCAUCGACGAGAAUAGGGAAGAAGUACAGGAAUCGCCGCGGGUCCGUGCGGUGGCAUGGUUGGGAGCUCUGCGCUGGGUGGAUAGCGGUGAGUACCUUCCCGGGUGAUUGGUCAUUGUCUCUGCUUCGCAUUGUGCCGCUCAGACCUAGGAUUGGGGCCUAGUGCUUAAGAUCACCGUCGACGACCAUGGUGACCGCCGAGGGAGUGGGCGGUGCGGCCAUCUUUUCGGCUGGGGGAUUGGUGGUCGGCCCGUUCGGCCGAUCGAUUUCCGGGGAACAGUCCCGAUUAGAGGAAUUGGGGAUUGGAUCCUGGACGUUGGUUUGAUCAGCGACGGUCAUGAUUGCAUGAGGCAUAUCCCUUCGGGGAACUUGAUCGGAGCCGUUAGAUUGGAAUCGCAUGGAUGAGAUUAGAUCGCGAGUAUUUAAAUCCUGAUCGUCGAUCACUGAUCGAACGACCGUAGUCGCGUACCGGUUUAUAAUGUUGGGGUUCUAAUCUGACCGUCAGUAUUGGAUCGGACGGCCGUGAUCCUUGCUUACCUCUUCGUGUGGACUUUUGUGAUAUUAACCUCAGACUUUUUAGUAAUUGUUGCGCUGUCCAGAGCUCGGGAAAUCGAAUAAAUACAUUCAGAAAUUGAUUUUUUGGUAUAAAAAUAAUUGCAGAAACCCAUUUAAUUCAUAUAAAAUUCAUAUUAAAUCCUUUUUGACCCAUUCCAAUUUUUAUAAUUUGGUAUUAAUAUUGUUUAUCACUCAGUGUCUCUGUUUUGACAUGAAAGUCACAUUAAAAUGUAUAUCCUAUUUAAUCUUGUACAAAACACAUAGAAUCUUUAGAAAUUCAUAACCUAAAAUCUAUAACUCUAAAUUGACCCGUUCCAGUUGCGUUAGCUUCGUAUAAAUAUCUACUACACAAUAGCAACAUUUAUUAAAUCAUAUCCCACACUUUUAUAAUUAAGUAACUAAUUGGGUUAAUCUAUGUCUUUUGGAUUAACUUCUUUAAUAUUAAUAUAGUAUUCUAAUUUUAUGGUUAUAAUUUAACUAGAUAAUCUUUUAUGAAAUAAUGACUAAGAUUAAAGUUAAGAUAAAUAUUUAUAGAAUAACCUCUCAUAUGGUAGUUUAAUAUUUUAAUCACAUAGAUCUUCUAUAAGAUCAUAACUCAUUAACCAUGACUCCGAUCUUAGUAGUUCCCAAUCCCACGAUCUCAUAGCAACGCGUAGAUCAUUAUUAUGUAGUUUGUUCUUAUGUUUGGUGUGAUGUUAAUUUUGUCUAUACCAUGUUUGUUUGUAUUGCUACGACUAGCAGUGCGGACACGAGGAUCUGAAGAAUCAUCCUGGUACCUGAAAUCUCAAGUCCCAGGCAAGUUGUCCCCAUGAUCACUUUCAUUUACCCAAUAAUGUUCUUUAUUAUCACUAUUCAAUGCAUAGGUGUAAUUUUGAUGGGACCCAAUAGGUCACCCUAGUAUGAUUAUCUUGUACCUUGUUUACCCCUGAAUCAUUUGGGUAGUUAUGUUAUUCCUUUAUAUGGUUUUGGGUUAAUAUUUCAUUAUAUCUAUGUUCCAGUUAAUCUGUUAUGUUAUUUAUGUUCAUGUCAAAAUCAUUAUCUUUAAUUGGAACAUGGAGCUUAACUUGAGAAACACGUGCAACCACAAGGGUGGAAUGGGACGCCCUUGGCUGACUAAUUAGGAAAGCUAGUGGAAACCUACCUUACCCGAAAGGGGUAAGGGCAGUAGGGGAGUUGCAUGCAGGGAGGUUCUCGGGUUGAUUUUGCUGCGAUGGCGGUUAGACGAGGGAUUCUUGCAAGUGCUCUUCCCAUAAACUGUAGUGGGUUUUCGGAAGCUAGUGGAACUUUGUAAAGGCCUCGUAGUGUUACCCUGGCUCGCUUCCUUGGUAGAGGUGUAUGAGAUUCAUGACCCCUUGGUAGAUGGGUAACAUGACUUGUGGGUACAGGGUACAACCUCUGCAGAGUGUAAAACUGGUAUACUAGCCGAGCUCACGGUCAAGAGCAGCUCAGGACUCUGGCAUGAUUAAAUUAUGGAACUAAAUUCAAUUCGUCAUUUGCAUUGCAUGGGAUUCUGUUAUUAAUUUUGUUCUAUUCUUAUUAUGGUUUGGUAUUUACUUACAUCUAGUAAUUGCUAAUAAAAUUUUGACCAACUUUAAAAGCAAUGCUCAGCUUUAACCAUUCUCUUUAGUAAGCCUUACACUUCAUGAGCUCCCACCUUUGGAGAGUUCAUGCACAUUAUUCCCCACAACUUGUUGAGCGAUGAACAUGUGUGAGCUCACCCUUGCUGUCUCACACCCCCCAUAGGAGAAGAACAUGUGGUUCAAGAGGAUCCACACAGUGAGGAGUUCGAUUUGAUCUAGGUGGCGUCUCCCAGUUGACUUUAUGGCG
rnacentral:lncRNA from 1 species